rnacentral:tRNA from 1 species
GAGGUGUUAACUUAAGUUUAAAGUGUUAGACUUUUAAUCUAAAGAUGGUUUUCACGCCUUG